CGACCCCACGUCAGGCGAGAUUACCCGCUGAGUUUAAGCAUAUCAAUAAGCGGAGGAAAAGAAACUUACAAGGAUUCCCUUAGUAACGGCGAACGAACAGGGAACAACCCAGCCUUAGAAUCGGGCAGCUCCGUCGUCCGAAUUGUAGUCUGGAGAAGCAUCCUCAGCGGCGGAUCGGGCCCAAGUCCACUGGAAGGGGCCGCCAGGGAGGGUGAGAGCCCCAGUGUGCCCGGACCCUGUCACACCAUGAGGCGCUGUCUACGAGUCGGGUUGUUUGGGAAUGCAUCCCAAAUCGGGCGGUGAAUUCCAUCCAAGGCUAAAUACGGGCGAGAGACCGAUAACGAAUAAGUACCGCGAGGGAAAGAUGAAAAGGACUUUGAAAAAAGAGUCAAAGAGUGCUUGAAAUUGUCGGAAAGGAAGUAGAUGGGGGCCGGCGAUGUGCCCCGAUCAGAUGUGGAACGACGACGAGCCGGUCCCCCGAUCGACUCGGGGCGUGGACCAGCGUGGAUUGCGGGGGCGGCCAAAGACCGGGCUCUCGAUACGCUCGUGGAACACCAUCUCCUCGAUUGUGGUAGGCAGCGCGUACCCCCAGCGUGCUUCGGCAUCUACGCGCUCCGUACGCUGGCCUGUGGGCUCCCCAUUCGAGCCGUCUUGAAACACGGACCAAAAAGUCUGACAUGUGUGCGAGUCAACGGGCGAGUAAACCCAUAAGGCGCAAGGAAGCUGAUUGGUGGGAUCCCCCCGAGGGGUGCACCACCGACCGACCUUGAUCUUCUUCGAAGGGUUCGAGUGUGAGCAUACCUAUCGGGACCCGAAAGAGGGUGAACUAAGCUUGAGCGGGGCGAAGCCAGAGGAAACUUUGGUGAAGGCCUGCAGCGAUACUGACGUGCAAAUCGUUCAUCUGACUUGGGUAUAGGGGCGAAAGACAAAUCGAACCGUCUAGUAGCUGCUUCCCUCAGGAUAGCUGGAGCUCGCGUGCGAGUUCUAUCGGAUAAAGCCAAUGAUUAGAGGCCUCGGGGGCGUAACGCCCUCGACUUAUUCUCAAACUUUAAAUAGGUAGGACGGCGCAACUGCUUGGCUGAGUCGCACCACGGAAUCAAGAGCUCCAAGUGGGCCAUUUUUGGUAAGCAGAACUGGCGAUGCGAGAUGAAUCGAAAGCCGGGUUAUGGUGUCAAACUGCGGGCUAACGUAGAUCCCACAAAGGGUGUUGGUAGAUUAAGACAGCAGGACGGUGGUCAGGGAAGUAGAAAUCUGCUAAGGAGUGUGUAACAACUCACCUGCUGAAUCAACUAGCCCCGAAAAUGGAUGGCGCUUAAGCGCGCGACUUACACUUGGCCGUCGGGGCAAGUGCCAGGCCCCGAUGAGUAGGAGGGCGAGGUGGUCGCUGCAAAACCUUGGGCGCGAGCGGCCAUACAAGCCUCUUAAGUAAAUUAAAAUGACUCCUGAUAAACAAUAUUGGACUUAGUGCAACUAUAUCAACAGCGAAUAAGACUUAAUCCCAUCUACCUGGCAUCGACAAGUCCCUUGCUUCUAUCGUGUUAUGUUUUCAGCUAAGUGAAAGGUUUUACGAUGCAAUGAUUUUAUUUGCUUUAUUCUGUCGUAAUUAGGUACCACAUAGCCUGUGGUUUCAUUAGUCCUUAGUACCUUCAGUUGAUUCGCUUCGACUGAUUCUUGAUCAAUGUUGUACUUUCUUAAUUCUCGAUUGUUUCUGCAGGUUGAGAAGUGGAACGAGCAGAGGGAGAACGGGACUUUCCCUGGUCCGCUUUAAUUAGAAACCAUCAGAUUUGCCAGCAUCCUUUUUGGUUAUUGUUAUGAAGAAGCAAUUGUUUGCAUUGAUGUUCUUGUUUGAAUUGUCAAGAUAUCAACAAUAAGGAGACUUUUUUCUACUUUUAUACAGUUUCUCAGUUUUAAUUCAUUGGAUUUUUGUUCUUAUUAAUGGUUAUAGACAUGGCUUUUUUCUGCCUGUCUUUGUUUUAUUCUUUGGUUUUCUAACGGCCGCCCAGUGCGCUAGAGCUCUCCCUAUGUGCUGCGGGGUUCAGGAUAGCGGCAGGUUACAAGGGUCUAUUGUACGCAGUCGCUUUGUUUAGUGUAGCAGAAUUUUUAUAACAAAAGUGUGACAGACAAGUCUUUCUGCUCAAUGAAAUUCUGGAGGGUUCACUACUGUCCCUCCUCACCGAGGGUCGAAGGGACUUCCAUCAUGUAGCUGGGUACAAAUAAGCCAGUUAAAGACGAGUAGGCAGGGCGUCAGGCUAGUGCCAGUGGGGUACGUAAACGAGGACAGAUCAUGUGGUUUUGUACUGGUUGGUUUUGAGCUGUCGAGUGACGAUUGCUCCAGACGCGGGGGGCUUGUCUUAUAAUAAAGGGGGUACUUUGUUCUCUGAUGUGCGCUAUAUUAUUGUGUCCUAUUCCUUAAGGAGUGAUUCGCGAUUAAGCCACGUGGCGAUACGUUGCCUUUCUGUGAUUUGGGCAUGGCAGAACCCUCAGAGGGGGAAAAUUGCGUAUAGAAACAAAAUGAACCGCUUUUAUUCUUUGCUCAUCGCGCUUGGUUGAAAAGCCAGUGGCACGAAGCUACCAUGUGCUGGAUUAUGACUGAACGCCUCUAAGUCAGAAUCCGGGCUAGUAGCGACGCAUGCGCCCGCCGUCCGCUUGCCGACCCACAGUAGGGGCCUCUGCCCCCAAGGGCACAUGUCGUUGGCUAAGCCGCCGCGACGGAAGGGUCGCGGUGGCCGCCUUGAAGUACAAUUUCCAUCGAGCGGCGGAUAGAAUCCUUUGCAGAUGACUUAAAUACACGACGGGGUGUUGUAAGUGGCAGAGUGGCCUUGCUGCCACGAUCCACUGAGAUUCAGCCCUUUGUCACUCUGGUUCGU
rfam:Capsicum annuum cultivar Zunla-1 unplaced genomic scaffold scaffold21356, whole genome shotgun sequence